rnacentral:lncRNA from 1 species
CAACAGUGGAGGACUUUCUUUCUGGAAUUACCACUAGAUUUAAUGGACCCAUUGAAAUUUGUCAUGGAAAAGCAACUUAACUAACUCAAAGAAUUCACCUUCCACUUCCUUGCACGUAUCAUAGAUAUGUCCGGACAAAACGUUCUGGCAAUUUGCAAUCUGUUUUCCUAUAAAACUCACGAAAUCUGGUGAAAAACAAUUGUCAAGAAUUGGAAGGUCAAGCUUAAGCAGCUGAGAAUUAGUUGGGACAGAGUUGAGGAAGAUUCUUGCCCGCUGAAUGGACAAAAGUAGUAAAAGGAAAAGUGUUGUGGAAAACGUAAGCCUCAGUAUUGGAUAUAGUUCAUUCAUCCUGAACAGCUGAAGCUGUUAGUACGUCAUGCACAACUAUCAGUCUUCUAGCUUUACGUGAGAGUUCAUGUAGAAUUAAGCUCACAGGUAUGUUAAGGCUAUCCCUUCUUUCUUUUGGCAUGAUCCAUACGAUAUGAACAAAACGUGCAAAUGCACAAAUUCCAUAAGUAACUCUACUCAUAGAAGUAAUAGAAAUAUCUAUGUUCUUUAAUUUUCAUGUAUCAUAAUAUUUUGUCAUUUGUUCAUGGGUCUCAGAAAAAUACGAAAGUUGAAAAGAUGUUACUUUAUGAUAAUGCUCAAGAGGCAAAAUGGUCUUAUGACAUUUCGAAUGAUUUUAUUGACGUACUUUACAUGCAUUGUGUUCAUGUGCAUUGACUCAUGACCAGAUGGCGUUAUAUAUGCGUAUAUAUGUAAAUAUAUGUAUAUGGAANNNNNNNNNNNNNNNNNNNNNNNNNAUAUGGGAUAUGAGAAAGGUUAUAGCGUUAUAUACGCACCACCACCUGAUUAGCUGGUAUACGAUGAUGAUUUUGUCCAUAGUGGCCGAUAUGAUAUGAUGUCAUGUACUCUAUAUUUCUUCCAUGUCUCUUAUGUACUUAUUUAUGUGCCUUACAUACUCGGUACAUUAUUCGUACUGACAUCCCUUUUUCCUGGGGAUGCUGUAUUUUAUGCCCGCAGGUCUCGAUAGACAGGUCAAGAGCCCUCCAAGUAGGCUAUCAGCUCAGCAGAAGAUGUUGGUGCGCUCCAUUUGCUUCGGAGUUGCUUGUUUGGUUAGUAUGAUUUAGACAUGUAUUGUUUGGUAUGGCGAGACUCUGUCUCGACCCUUAUGAUAUUUAUGUAUUCUUAUAGGCUUGUAGACAUAUGUCAUGUACGUGAAAGAUUGUAUGGCCUUGUUGGCCUAUAUUUUGAGUUGAUAAAUGAUUAUGUUGGCCUAUUAGGCUCGUAUGUCACGUGUAUAUGAUGAUGUAAUAAGAAAGAUACGUUACAUUGGUACUCGGUUGAGUAAGGUACCGGGUGCCCGUCGCGGCCCAUCGGUUUGGGUCGUGACAAUGACCCACGAAAUCUGGUCCUUCUUCAUUAAAAAAGUUCCUCA